UACAGAGGGGGCAAGCGUUGUUCGGAAUUACUGGGCGUAAAGCGCACGUAGGCGGCUUUGUAAGUUAGAGGUGAAAGCCCGGGGCUCAACUCCGGAAUUGCCUUUAAGACUGCAUCGCUAGAAUUGUGGAGAGGUAAGUGGAAUUCCGAGUGUAGAGGUGAAAUUCGUAGAUAUUAGGAAGAACACCGGUGGCGAAGGCGGCCCACUGGUCCGGUACUGACGCUGAGGUGCGAAAGCGUGGGGAGCAAACAGG
rnacentral:rRNA from 1 species